UGGUGACUUUUAGAAUCUGUCUAAUAGGCUUUCUGGUUUUUGCCAGAACCAUCCCCC
rnacentral:snRNA from 1 species